rnacentral:rRNA from 1 species
CACGGUGGGAGCAAGCGUUGUUCGGAAUCACUGGGCGUAAAGGGCGUGUAGGCGGUCAAGUAAGUGGAAUGUGAAAGCCCCCGGCUUACCCGGGGAUCUGCAUCCCAAACUGCUUGGCUUGAGUACGGGAGAGGAUAGGGGAAUUCCUGGUGUAGCGGUGAAAUGCGUAGAUAUCAGGAGGAACACCGGUGGCGAAGGCGCCUAUCUGGCCCGAUACUGACGCUGAGGCGCGAAAGCUAGGGGAGCAAACGGG